UACUUAAUCAUUACUUAAUUUUUUAGGGCAACCAGUUUCCUCAAAUUUUUUAAGUAAAUUCAACUUAUCCGGGCUAACAGUUUAUGCGCAGUCUCGAGACUCAAGAUGUCAGCGUCAUAUUGGCACACUGGCGGCUUCAGUUACUACUACAAUGGAAGAGAUUGAAUGUGCGUCAUCCAUCUUUUUUUUUUUUACAGUCUGUGGUCUUGACGCUAGAAGUGUUUCAAAAUCCACAAACGCAUGCUGUGAUCCACAAAUGAAUGCCAGGCAGAGUUGUGUUUGUGACACAAAACACAUUUGUAAGAUUUAAUUUGCAAAUCUCAUUUUAUUUGUGAAUUUGAUUCAUUUUUCUAAAACUCUUUCAAUAUUAUUUGUGGAUCUUAAUAUAUUUAUUUGUGAAUUUGAUUCAUUUUUGUUAAUCUCUUUACAUUUAUUUGUGCGUUUCAGUCUAUUUUUUAGUACAUUUAAUGAAAUGGCUAGUCAACGUCUAUUUCUUGAGUUUAUGAAGUUCUUACUGUUGGACAACAAUCAAACAGGAAGCAAAAUGACAUUUACAACAGCUGAAAGGGAGUAUCCAAGAGGUGGAUAAACUCCAACUUACUAAAAAUGAGAGCAAGAAUAAAGAAAUUUUCACACAAGAAUCCAUCUCCAGAAUGAUGGUGAAGUCAUACAGAUGUUUGACAUAUGGGCACUAUGGCAGAAAAUGUAAAAUGCUUGCAAAACGUAUGCUUUUGUCCCGCCUACCUUUGGGUUUCUCAGCAUGAUUGUGCACUUGGAUUUUCAAUUCUGUCCAAACAAUAAGAUUCUCACUGGCACAUUCAAUGAAUAAUGGAAUAAUGGAACAAAAAUAACCCAAUAAGGAAUAGGUGGUGUAGCACAAAUAUUGACAUCACUACCGCUGCACAUAGCGAUGAGUUUCUGAAACUGGCGACAGAUCUAAAUCAAGAAAAACAGCACCAAUCUGAUCGCAAUUAAAACUGCUGUCACAUCAGGUUAUAUGAGCUCUUCAAAAUCGGUCUGAGAUGCUGCAAACACUGCUGUUCAUCUUGACUGUCGUCAGAAUGAAAAACUGUGCAAAUUUACUUUUUCAUUUAGACCCUGAUGAACCGACUAACUUCUCCAUCAGAGUACAAGAUAACUUCACUGGAGAGGCUGGUUUGUGCAUCAGAGCGUUUUGUUUUUCACUGUCCCUCAAAGUGUCUCAGAACCCAUUAGGAGAACAUGGUUCAAAGGAGAUCCACAAAACCCAACUGUUGAAGUUCCUUGUAUGACCACAAAUAUAUACAUACCUGGUGAGACAGAGUGCAGCUUUAUGCUAAACAACUUGGUUCAGGGUGACUCUGAUGGUGAAUACAGAUUGAAACUGGAGUGGGGACAAGGAAAAGUGUAUAUCUUUCCUCAGACAGUGACUAUUACUGUGAAAGAGCUCACCCAGAAACCAACUAUAAAAGUCCCACAACUCACAGCAGGAAAGAAGGCCGAGAUAUCCUGCAAAGUUCCAGGGGAUUGCCUGAAUCCCUCAACAGAUAUUGUAUGGGACGGGAUUGAGCCUGAUGAAAUUAAUCGUAUAGGUUCUAGAGUGCCUGGCAGGGAAGAGCACUCUUCAAUAAUGACUUUCCAUCCUGAGCCUGAACAUCACAAUACU